rnacentral:rRNA from 1 species
UACGGAGGGUGCAAGCGUUAUCCGGAAUCAUUGGGUUUAAAGGGUCCGCAGGCGGUGCUAUAAGUCAGUGGUGAAAUCUCAUAGCUUAACUAUGAAACUGCCAUUGAUACUGUAGCACUUGAAUUCGGUCGAAGUGGGCGGAAUAUGACAUGUAGCGGUGAAAUGCAUAGAUAUGUCAUAGAACACCGAUAGCGAAGGCAGCUCACUAGGCCUGGAUUGACGCUCAGGGACGAAAGCGUGGGGAGCAAACAGGAUUAGAUACCCUGGUAGUCCACGCCGUAAACUAUCAAUACUCGUUUUCAGCGAUAUACAGUUGGAGACUAAGCGAAAGUGAUAAGUAUUGCACCUGGGGAGUACGAUCGCAAGGUUG